rnacentral:rRNA from 1 species
UCGAUGAAGAACGUAGCAAAAUGUGAUACUUGGUGUGAAUUACAAAAUUCCGUGAACCAUCGAGUUUUUGAACGUAUGUUGCGCCCGAGGCCAUUAUGCCGAGGGCACGUCUGCCUGGGUGUCAUGCACAUCAUCGCCCUCCGUCCCCAUCCCCAUCCCCAACACAUGAUCGUAAGCGUUGGGCCAAAAAUUGGCUUCCCGCGUGCAGCCGGCCUAAAUGAGAUUCAGCGUUGACGUGAGUCGCGGUAAUUGGUGGUUGAAGACCUCAACUCGCGCGUUGUAGCGCAGGACCACAUCAUUCGGUCGAAAUGCCUCGGACCCCGAAGGUGCUACCCAUACCUCGACAGUGACCCCAGGUCAGGCGGGAUCACCCGCUAAGUUUAAGCAUAUCAAUAAGCGAAGGAAAAGAAACCUACAAGGAUUCUCCCAAUAACGACGAGCGAAUCGGGAAGAGCCCAACUUGAGUAUCGGACGGCCCCACCGUUCGAAUUGUAGUCUAGAGAAGCGUCCUCAGUGGCAGACCAAGCUCAAGUCCCCUAGAAAGGGGCGCCAGAGAGUGUGAGAGCCUCGUCGUGCUCGGACCCUACAGCAUCACAAGGCACUGUCAGCGAGUCGGGUUGUUUGGGAAUGCAGCCCCAAUCGGGCAGUAAAUUUCGUCCAAGGCUAAAUA